GAGCUUCAAUUUUGAUGUCACCACAAGGUGGAACUCAACUUAUAUCAUGCUUAAUUCUGCUUUAUUUUAUCGGAAAGCAUUUGAGAACCUUGGACUAGUGGAGGACAAUUAUAAAACUUGUCCGAUUCUGAUCAAUGGUUAAAGAUUGA